AUGGUUAAGGUAUUUUUCAAGGGCAUUGGAUAUGCCGAGAGGUAUCUUGAAGAGAUCAAGGCCUAUCUCCAAAGACGACUUUGUGUGACUCAGGUUGGAGAUGUACGGGAAUGUGAUGUCAUCUUGGUCCUCUGUCCAAUCGUCUCUCGAGCUGGAACUGAUGUUGAGGCUGCACUGAGUGCGAUUCCAAGCUCAAAGCCUACACUUCUCAUGGUGCUUCAUCGCACAAUCGACCCGGAUGACAUAAUACCCAACACCCAGAAGUAUGUCGAAGGGAGAGGAAUGACGCUAGACCUGCUUUUCAAUGAGGAUCAAGGAAUACUCUCUUGCAGAAGAAAUGAGGACUCUAAGAUUUCGGCUGCAGAUUUCCUUAGCCAAUAUCAAACUGCCAACUCUGGAGGUGUUACUGGCUUUUUAAGUGACAUACGUUCGAUAAUAAUGAUUGUGUCUAUUUCAGUUGCAUGCAUUGAUUCUACUUUGGCACUGCAUUUCUUUGUCAGUAAUGCAUUUCGUUGUCUCAGUACUUGUACUCUGUCUCAGUACUUGUGCGUUGUCUCAGUUGUACUUGUACUCUGUGCAAUGACAAAACAGUUGAAUCUAAUCUAAUCUAAUCUAAUUGUCUGGAUUUAAAAAAAAAAUUAUAUUCCUCUAAGAUAACUCAGUCAAGAUCAAUUGAUUGUUUUUUCCUAGGCUAUUUACAUAGACUACACUACAGUUGAAACAUGAGCAUAAUCCAACUGAAAUCUGAUAGGCUAUCAGAACCCUAAAAAAUUGGGCUUCGGUCUUGAAUGCCAGAAGUGUUUUGUUAAGUCAUAUAUUGGCAAUACCAACAUGUGUUAUUUGAAAACAUUAAAAAGAAGAAGUGUCAUUUGAUUUAAGAGUAAAUUGUAGUUUAUUAGUUGUAAUUACUCAACUUCCUUGCAUCCUCAAACUGCCCAUCAUCUCUAACCUUUUAGCCAUUUUAUUUAGCUAUUUGUUAAGUUAUAGGCUAGGCUACUGCUGGGAAAGUGAUGUGAACAGGCCAUAACAAAAUACUUCAGUGAUCAAUCAAUCAAUCAAUCAAUGUUUCGGGACACUUAUUUCAGUAGGCUACUUACUAAGCUCUGUUCAGACACUUUCACUAUUCAGAGACUGUUUAUCCAUUGAAAUGACCUAAGAUUAUCUAGUCUCUAUUUCAUAUAGGAAACUACUGAUCUUACAUAUAGGCCCACUCAACCCACACAGUCACAAAACAGGACAGACUGUCAUCAAAGUGCUUCUUCCAUGACACUUUGUCAGCAGAAGUAGAUAGAAUUAAAGACAU
rnacentral:lncRNA from 1 species